AUGUCUCCAGCGGCUGCAGCGGCUGCAGCAGGGGAGCGCGGCGGCCCAUAGAGAGUGUUAGGGAUGGCCAGGGCCGGGCCUGCGGUGGGCCGGCAGGGGCGGCGCUCCUCGGCCUGUCGCUGGUCGGCCUCGUGCUGUACCUUGUGCCAGCUGCGGCUGCGCUGGCCUAGCUGGCCGUGGGGGCUCCCGCGGCCUGGUGGGGACUGAGCCGCGAGCCCCGGAGGUUCGCGCCCCUUGUCCUCCUUUGUUCGGCACGCACGACAUCGGCGAACAUUGUUCGCUUCGCCUACGGCCAAGUCGGCAGCCGACGGAAAUCUCCUAGAGCCAGCAGACACUGCUCGAAGGACCCGACCCUGCCGAACUGCUACUCAUGGGCAGUUACCUGGGCAAGCCCGGGCCGCCACAGCCCCCCUCCCCCGACCCGGCGCUCCGGAGUGCCAGGACUUGCAGCAGAGGCCUGGCAGCCGCCCACCCGCCUGCUCUGCGCUGCGCUCCCCGCCGACCCAUCGCAUUCACCACGUUUACCCCUCUCUCCCCACUCCUCUUCUCCGACCCUCCAGUAGGCCUUCCCAACGGGAUUGUGGGACUUCACCAAAUCGGUUUAUAGUAACGCCUUGAAGACGCUAUCCGAUCCAUGAGGCCCAAUAUUUCUGUCUGGGGGUACUUCCCACAGUGUGCUGGAAUGGUUAUCACAAGAAGGCUGUGCUGUCCCCUUCUUGUGCUACGCAACUCCAGGAUGGUGUGUAGCCCGGUGACUGUGAGGAUCGCCCCUCCUGACAGAAGGUUUUCGAGGUCUGCGAUACCAGAGCAGAUAAUCAGCUCAACACUCUCCUCACCGUCAAGUAAUGUCCCAGACCCAUGUGCAAAGGAGACUGUACUGAGUGCCCUCAAAGAGAAGAAGAAAAGGACAGUGGAGGAAGAAGAUCAAAUAUUCCUUGAUGGCCAGGAAAAUAAAAGAAGGCGCCAUGAUAGCAGUGGCAGUGGACAUUCAGCAUUUGAGCUCCUGGUGGCCAAUGGAGCUCCCGCUUCUUUUGUGCCUAAGCCUGGGUCUCUGAAGAGACGCCUCAAUUCUCAGAGCUCAGAGGACCACUUGAAUUAGAGAUCCCGAACCUCUUCCAUGAGCUCCUUGACAAGCGCUUACACAAGUGGCACCCCUAGCUCCAGCUGCAAUGCCAUUACCAGUUCCUACAGCUCCACUCGAGGCAUCUCACAGCUCUGGAAGAGAAGUGGUCCUAGUUCAUCACCCUUCUCUAGCCCAGCCUCGUCCCGCUCCCAGACACCGGAGAGACCAGCAAAGAAAAUCAGAGAAGAAGAAGUGUGUCAUCAUUCCAGUUCUUCAACCCCACUGGCUACAGACAAGGAGUCCCAGGGAGAAAGGGUUGCAGAUACAGCCCCAUGGAAGAAACAAAACUCACGAAUUCUCCGUCUAUACCUGGCAGCUCUGGGCAGCCUAAGCGGAAAAUUCAGCUGCUGCCUUCUCGGCGAGGAGAACAGCUGACCUUGCCUCCACCUCCCCAGCUUGGCUAUUCGAUCACUGCCGGGGACCUAGACUUAGAGAAAAAGACUUCAUUACAGUGGUUCAAUGAGGCCUUGGAGGAUAAGACCAAUGCUGCCUCGAACUCUGUCACUGAGACCCCACCUACCACUCAGCCUUCAUUUACCUUUACCCUGCCUGCUGCUGCACCUGCCUCCCCGCUGACCUCCCUCCCGGCCCCAAGCACCAACCCACUGUUAGACAGCUUGAAGAAGAUGCAGAGUCCCCUGAGACUGCCGCCCUGCCCAGAAUCUCCUGGAGCAGCAACCACUGAGGCCCCGUCGCCUCCAAAGACGCCCAGCCUCCUGCCAUCACUGGGCUUCUCACAGUCAGGGCCACCAGGGCCCCUCCCCGGCCCCUCCUCAGACUCCAAGCCUCCCACCACUUUGCUGGGGCUGAUGCCUGCUUCAUCCACAGUACCAGCCACUGACACCAAGUCACCUCCAACCCUUCAGGCAGACAUGGCUGCCAAACCCCAAGCCACAUCUGCCCCACCCCCUGACCCCAAACAGAGCUUCCUGUUUGGAACACAGAGCACCUCACUUUCCAGUCCUGCUGCCCCUGCCGAGUCCUCAGCAUCUCCCAUGUUCAAGCCCAUUUUCAUGGCCCCACCUAAGAGUGAGAAGGCCGGCCCCACACCGCCUGGCCCUUCAGUCCCAGCCACAGCACCUUCCAGCUCCUCCCUCCCUCCAACCACCGCCAGCACAGCCCCGACUUUCCAGCCCGUGUUUAGCAGCAUGGGGCCGCCUGCAUCUGCGCCCUUGCCUGCUCCCUUAUUCAAGCAGACAACUCCCGCCACUGCUUCCACCACAACUGCCCCAUUUUUCACCUGCCUGGCCACCACCGCCUCUGCUGUGGCUACCAUCUCCACAGCCAGUCCAUCCGCAGACUCUGCUUCGAAGCCUGCGUUUGGCUUUGGUGUAAACAGUGUGAGCAGCAGCGUGAGCACCACGACCAGCACCGCCACUGCCACCUCACAGCCUUUCCUCUUCGGGGCGCCCCUGGAGCUUCACCCCUGUCAUGGGCUCCAUAUUCCAGUUUGGCAAGCCGCCUGCCCUGCCCACCACCACCACAGUCACCACCUUUCACCCAGUCCCUGCCCACUGCCGCACCGACGGCCACCAGCAGCAGCGCCGCCGGCUUUAGUGGUUUCGGCAGCAGCCUCAGCACCUCCGCCCCGGCCACCAGCAGCCAGCCCACACUGACAUUCAGUAACACGAGCACCUCCACAUUCAACAUUCUCUUUGGCUCAAGCACCAAGUCCCCGCUCCCAUCAUAUCCAGGAGCCAACCCCCAGCCCGCAUUUGGGGCCGCCGAGGGGCAGCUACCGGGAGCCACCAAGCCAGCCCUUGCCCCCAGCUUUGGCAGCUCUUUCACUUUUGGGAACUAUGCAGCCCCAGCCCGGGCUGCUGCACCCACACCUGCACCUGCGUCCACGAUCAUGAUCGUGCCCGCGCAUGUGCCCACACCCCUCCAACCUGCCUUUGGCAGUGCCACACAGUCGGCGUUUGGGUUGAAAGCCGCGGCUUCAGCCUUUGGCGCCCCCGCCAACUCACAGCCCACCUUUGGCGGCACCACUGCUAUCUUCUUUGGUGCAGCCACCAGCUCUGGCUUUGGAGCCACCACCCAGACCGCCAGCAGUGGGAGCAGCAGCUCAGUGUUCGGCAGCACGACACCAUCACCCUUCACAUUUGGGGGUUCAGAGGCCCCCGCUAGCAGCGGGGGCUUUGGGAUCAAUGUUUUUCCUCAUCAAAAUGCCUCUUAA